GCAACUAGAAUAUGUUGGAAGAAAGACAUUGCCCAUAUACUUACAUGAUUUUGAGGGUUGCGAUGCCACCAAGCUCAGGCGGGAUAGGACCAGACAAUUGAUUGUGGUCAAAUAAUCUGAGGAAGUUCAACAAAGUAGUCAGUGUAACAUGUGUAGUGCUACUAAAAAUGAAAAUUGGUACUUCCUUACAUGUGCUCGAGGAUCAUGCUAGAGUUGAAGAGGCCAGCAAGACUACCACUUAACUGAUUCUUGUUAAAAUGGCUGUUGAUUUAUUGGAGAUAAGCAUCAGUAUGGCUGAAGGAAGAAAUGUUAGAGGGACUUACAAAUGUUUGGUGUGUGUAAGUAGGUCAAGUCCUGGAGAACCACCUGAGGAAAUUGGAAUAGAUCCAGAAAGCUGGUUAUCUGCCAGGUCUAGCCAAAAGAGGUUUGAGAGUAGACCAAACGAUGGAGGAAUCCCGCCUGUGAAGUUGUUUGAAUUCAGCGCCCUACAGAGAAAUUGUUGCAGAGCAAAUUGCAUCUCAUUAGUACAACCAAAGUAUCAGCAGAGCUUAAUAAUAAUGUGAGAAUGACUAAGGCUUUGUAUGUGUCUAAUAGUUCUUACAAGAACGAGAGCUGCGGCAAGUUUCCUAAUACUUGGAUGCCUCCUGUGAAGCUGCAGCCAGCCAAGAUCCUGAGAAGCACAGUGCAGUAGGGUAGGCCAGUGAUUGAUGUAUCCCAAAUAUGCAAGAUAAGGAUUUGCUAAUGGUCAUGUAGGCAUACAGUGUUGUGAGCUUCUUGAGAUUCCUGAUAGCAUCAGGCAGUGGGCCACCAAUUCCAAUGUUGAAGGAGAGAUCCCUGCAAGCACCCUAAAGUAUGAGCAAAAACAGUAUAUUAUAUUUUAUCGAGGUAAAUUAGCCAGUUCUUUUUUCUAAACUUGCUACAUAUGUAACGUCAGGUUUUUGUUUUAUUAGUAUAGCUGAUAUCUUCUCUGUUAAAAUGUUAUAAGCUCUGCACCUUUACCAUCUGGAAACAAAGAAUUCAUGUUUAUGUUUUCUUUAAGCAGUCAAAAUCUCCAGAAUCUUCUGAUAUACUCCAACAUUUGAAGCAGAAAAUGUACUCUUACUAUUGAUGAUUAAUAAACUUGAAUGAUUUUAAGGGUACGUAACUCACAGGUAAACAAGCUCAUUGAGUUGGCCUAUGCUGUUGCUUAAUGUGCCUUGAGCGUCAAUAAUGCCUGAAAGCCUCCUGGAAACAGGGAUGCCAAAUUUAACUGGAUGAUAGGUGAAAUUAAAACAUCAUUAGUUAGUACUCACAGUGACGUCACCCGCCCCUUGUCGCACGUAACCCCGUCCCAUGGUGUACCACAUGGAUCAUUUGAUGCUUUCCAGUUUGAUGGGAAGUCCUGCCAUCCACUGAUGAAAGACUGGAGCGCAGCCACUGACAAUGCGUAUUGAUGUUAUUAUUCAGGAAUUUACAGACCACUGACUUAAGCUAUAUUAUCUGCAUGGUGCCAUAUCUUCCUUUUAUUGUCAGUUGCUCUGCAUCAUGCUAAUGUUAUGCAGAUAAAUAAGAAAAUUUGCGAACUUGGAGAAUAUGAAAGGAGAUGAUAUUGAAUGAACUAUUUGAUAUGGUGUUUAUGAUAGUACGAUUGCAUUAUGCACUUGAAUGCCAUCUCUAUUUUGUAGAUAGAACAAAAUUAUUUUUCAUACUAGUAUGGCAGAUAGAAAACAUUUCAUCUAAAUACUUGUGUGGCUUGUCACCUUCAAUAUGAUGAAGCUAAAUCUUUGCAAUGAAAGUAAUCUAAGAAGAGAAAGGUACAGAAAUUAGAUUUAUCAUAGUUACCAUCUUGAGGAUCUGUAUCACAGAGUCGCAUAGGUAUACUGGCCAACAGCAUCAACAGCAGCAGAAACUUUCUCAACGCCUCCAUUCUCAGAGCCUAUGGGGAUUACCUAUGGGGAUCACAAUUUAGAAACACUCGAGUGGCAACAAACUGCAAAGCUGCUUGUGAAAGCUUCUUUGCAAGAACCCAAAUGGAGGAGCAUUCUAAGAUGAACGCCAAAGCCUUGCUCUUUGGAAGGACAUUUUCUCAAGAAUAGGUCAACCGAAUUUGUACCUGUUUGCAUAUUCCGCAUGAUACUUGGCCCAGCUGCUGGUUUUGUUGCCAAAAGGGAGAGAUGGUCUCGAGGUGAUCGAAAGGCAAGUAAAACAACCAAGUUGCAUAAGGAUUACUGACUGUUCCGUCGGUGUUAUUUAUUAACCUUUUCUAGACGGGCUGAGGACCUUCACGGGUCUAGGCUUUGCUUUGAUCUUUGGUGGCUUGAUACAGGUAACAGCUUUCAUCCAACCAACCUGUUUCCUUUAAACGAUGAAGUCGGGAUGCUCUUUGGAGUUGGGACAACUGUUCCUUGUCUUUUCUCGGUUGAAAUUAACGUCGCUGUGAUGAAGUGAUUCUUAUAUUCCGAUAUAUACUUUCUUGUUAAGUAGCUAAUAAUAUUAUAUUCUUUUGGUACAGCAUAUGUUGGUGGGGGCUGAAAUAACAAUGCCAAGGAUUUGGAAGCUCUGAUAGUGACAAAGUCAUUGGUUUGCUCUUCCAUUAUUUGUGCAAAGGAAUGUGAGCUGUCUUAAGUUGCCUAUCUCUUGUGGGAUGUUACCAGUGAAGCUGCAUCCAAGUAAAUUCCUGAAGGAAAAACCACACAAUAUGUCAGCUUUUGCCCUGUCUUUUCUUUUGCUCCUCUCCACCUAACCCAAAGAAGAAGAAUGUUUUGUGUAUGGUCGAUGUUCUUACAGAAUGGUGAGCUGCUUCAGAUUUCCAAUAUUUGGGGGAGUUCUUUUGAAAUUGAGGAAGCAAUGACUUACAGAUACGUCAAAGCGGAGAGUUGAUCUAUGGCAUUGCUUAAUGUACCUGCAACAUUCAUGCUCGAUAAUCUCCUGCAAUUACCAGGUUUCAGCGGAUUGUUUCUUGAUAAAAGAAGUAAAAAAUGACGACUGAUAAGUUGAGUUCUAACAUUUCUGUCACUCUCCCGCUGGAACAGGAAAUUCCAUCCCAGGGUUUGCAGGGAUCGGAUCCUGUCCAGCUUUGUGGUUGAUUCCGCCAAUUCUUCAUCAGUGCUUGAAGUGCGGCAACUGUAGGUUUAUCAAGCGAACAUUAGAGAGACACUUUAAUACCAACAACUCCAGUAAUUUAAUCUCACUCCUAUCAUGGAUCAUAUUAGGCACUAAUCUUAAUCGUAUGACAGUAGAUGCAAAUAUCAUCAUAGAGCAUGCAAGAUAAGUAUUAAUCCAAGAAAGGAGGCCUUCUUUGAACUCUGAGUUGUACUGGCGGGAAUGAAAUAUUGUUUCAGUUUCACCUUUUAUCCUGAGACCUAUUUCUCCAUACAUUAGCACGAAUUCUAAAUUUGUUUGAUUUGACCUACUGUGCAUUUGAUCCAUUAUAGUUUUAUUUGUGCUACCUAGCGCAACAAAUUGAAUUUAAAGAUUACAAAGGGCUUAAUAGUUAACCACUAAUGCUACCGAAUUGAAAAACUUUACCAUAAUCUUGAUGCCACAUACUACCAUGAUGCUGAUAUUUUUUCUCUGUCGGAAUUCAUUAUAAGUAAUAAAUCAUCUUCAUCUUAUGGUACAGGCUGAACUAAUCUGGCUCACCUUCUUCUCAGGCCAAUGGCCACUCGGUGAGCGACUUAUCCUCAAAAGAAGGCAACUUUCUUCCUAUUAACCCAAUGAGAAAAACGAAGGACUGGCUUACCAUCUUGGGGGUUCGUCUCGCUGGAGCCUGACUGAAGGCACAGCAAGAGCAAGAACAGAAGUAGCACCCACUGCAUCGCCACUCAGCCGUGUUGUCCUGGCCUCCACAGCAGAUCAAGAUCACGUCAAACCAGAAGCAGUUUCGAUGGAUGUUCUUGUAGGAAAAGCCUACCCAAUUGGCAAAUUUGCGGAGGAGCUAUCAGGUACCAAACGGCGCACCCUCCUUCUUGAGGUGAAUCUCAGGUUGGGUCAAGAACUCAAGCUGCCUGCCACUGCUGAUGUUGAUAUGGCAUGAGGGCAUGUAUCGAUGAAUUAUGCCAACGACUGCGCCCAUGGUUGCUUUCUGCAGGGCACUACGGUCUUCAUGGGACCUUGGAUGGUCUGGCGUGACAUGUACCAUGAAGUAUGCGGUGCCCUACCACGAGCCAAACUAAUGGGAAAAAAUGGGCCAGGACGGCGAAGCUUUGGAUCUACAUGGCCGGCAUAUUUGCUUGCUUUGUCGCCGUUGCUGAGAGCCGACGCGUGAUGUCGAGGCAGGCAACGCCAUGGGACAUUUUGGAGAACAAACACGAGGUUGCGCGCGGAAAGAUCCCUGCGCGUGUGGCCAAAUUAACCGGACGGCCGGCAGGGCAAUGAUUGAUUGAUUUAUUGAUUUCUCCAGGUAAACGCUCCGUCUUUUUUCCUAGAAAAAAAAACACAGUUAAGCCGGUGACUGCAGUUCGUUUGGAUGAAGCCACUUUUUUUUUAGCAUGAACCUGAAGCCACUUGGUGGCAUGCAUGGUGCCAAUACGGCAGCGCACGCGUAUCGUGGCCUGCAUUGUAAGUUUGUAACCCCGUUCAGCUGAAUGGAGUGAGUCCACCUUUGCCCCAGCGCGCACACGCUUUGUAAUCUUGUCAAUCAGUGCAGGUAUGAUGUAUGAAACGUUCUAAUGUGCGAAGGUAUCGAAGCAGGAAAACGGGUGCCGUUUACUU